rnacentral:rRNA from 1 species
UACAGAGGGUGCGAGCGUUAAUCGGAAUUACUGGGCGUAAAGCGCGCGUAGGCGGCUUUGCAAGUCGGGUGUGAAAUCCCCAGGCUUAACCUGGGAACUGCAUUUGUGACUGCAUCGCUGGAGUGCGGCAGAGGGGGAUGGAAUUCCGCGUGUAGCAGUGAAAUGCGUAGAUAUGCGGAGGAACGCCGAUGGCGAAGGCAAUCCCCUGGGCCUGCACUGACGCUCAUGCACGAAAGCGUGGGGAGCAAACAGG